CCUACGGGAGGCAGCAGUGGGGAAUAUUGGACAAUGGGCGAAAGCCUGAUCCAGCAAUGCCGCGUGAGUGAUGAAGGCCUUAGGGUUGUAAAGCUCUUUCACCCGGGAUGAUAAUGACAGUACCGGGAGAAUAAGCCCCGGCUAACUCCGUGCCAGCAGCCGCGGUAAUACGGAGGGGGCUAGCGUUGUUCGGAAUUACUGGGCGUAAAGCGCACGUAGGCGGUUAUUCAAGUCAGAGGUGAAAGCCCGGAGCUCAACUCCAGAACUGCCUUUGAAACUAGAUAACUAGGAUCAUGGAGAGGUGAGUGGAAUUCCGAGUGUAGAGGUGAAAAUUCGUAGAUAUUCGGAAGAACACCAGUGGCGAAGGCGGCUCACUGGACAUGUAUUGACGCUGAGGUGCGAAAAGCGUGGGGAGCAAAACAGGAUUAGAUACCCUGGUAGUCCACGCCGUAAACGAUGAUAACUAGUUGUUGGGGCUCUUAGAGCUUCAGUGACGCAGCUAACGCAUUAAGUUAUCCGCCUGGGGAGUACGGUCGCAAAGAUUAAAAACUCAAAAUGUAAUUAGUUAGGCGUUGAGAGNGCCGACGGACGACACGAGGGGAAGGAGGAG
rnacentral:rRNA from 1 species